AUUGAACGCUGGCGGCAGGCUUAACACAUGCGGGUCGAGCGGGGGAAGGUAGCUUGCUACCGGACCUAGCGGCGGACGGGUGAGUAAUGCUUAGGAAUCUGCCUAUUAGUGGGGGACAACAUCUCGAAAGGGAUGCUAAUACCGCAUACGUCCUACGGGAGAAAGCAGGGGAUCUUCGGACCUUGCGCUAAUAGAUGAGCCUAAGUCGGAUUAGCUAGUUGGUGGGGUAAAGGCCUACCAAGGCGACGAUCUGUAGCGGGUCUGAGAGGAUGAUCCGCCACACUGGGACUGAGACACGGCCCAGACUCCUACGGGAGGCAGCAGUGGGGAAUAUUGGACAAUGGGGGGAACCCUGAUCCAGCCAUGCCGCGUGUGUGAAGAAGGCCCUAUGGUUGUAAAGCACUUUAAGCGAGGAGGAGGCUACUUUAGUUAAUACCUAGAGAUAGUGGACGUUACUCGCAGAAUAAGCACCGGCUAACUCUGUGCCAGCAGCCGCCGUAA
rnacentral:rRNA from 1 species